GCACGAGAGAAAGUGGGAGGAUGAGUGGAGUUUGUAAACCAGUAUAAGAGUAGAGAGGUGAGUAUGUAGAUGCUGUGUGUGGUUUACGUGUCGGGUUAAUAUAUGUGGAGGUUUGAGUGGACAUGUAUACGGAAUGCGAUUCCGAUAAACCACUGGAGCGAGCUAGCAACACGUAAACAGAUUUAUGUUCAUGUAUUACAUGUAAGGAAUCACAUCCUACUGGAUAUCCUUCCGUUCCUGGCAGGAUUGCAUCUGAGAAAUAUUAGCAAAGUAAAAAACAUUAUUUUAAAAAGUAAUUGUUUUUUUUUUUUUCCAAAAGGCGAGCUGUACUUAACUAUGGUGCCUGUCAACAAGAUAAGAAUGUGAGAUAGUUAGAGAGAGUUUAAGGUGUCGAACAGUGAAGUACAUGCUUGGCGGAGGCGUAGUGUGACUGCCUCGUUCGGUAGGCCAACUCGCAAACAAUUCAACUAAUUCCUAUCACCGUAUGUCUACAUUAUUCGUGUUUAAGGAGGUUUUAAUGGCAUUUAAAAAGAAAGACACGCUCAAUAUGUGAAACUAGGGAGAGAAUUUUGAAAUGAAAGACUUCCACAGAAAUCUUACAUUGAAAUUUCUGCCAAUACAUUAAGCGAUCCUUUCUGCAACCGCAACAAUGUCUCCAUACUACUAUUUGCUGCAACUAUAUUUGGGAAUCUACCAUGCAACGUCUCCACCUGCCAGUUGAGGUAACUGAAAUUAAAUGAACACAACACCUGUAGCGAUGCUAGCGGUAUAAAAAUUCUGAACUCUUCCUGAUGCUCUGGAUUCCUCUUAUAGUCACGCUGUACCCCGUAGGCUUGGACCUUGGAGCGCU